AGAGUUUGAUCAUGGCUCAGAUUGAACGCUGGCGGCAGGCCUAACACAUGCAAGUCGAACGGUAACAGAAAGCAGCUUGCUGCUUUGCUGACGAGUGGCGGACGGGUGAGUAAUGUCUGGGAAACUGCCUGAUGGAGGGGGAUAACUACUGGAAACGGUAGCUAAUACCGCAUAACGUCGCAAGACCAAAGAGGGGGACCUUCGGGCCUCUUGCCAUCGGAUGUGCCCAGAUGGGAUUAGCUAGUAGGUGGGGUAAAGGCUCACCUAGGCGACGAUCCCUAGCUGGUCUGAGAGGAUGACCAGCCACACUGGAACUGAGACACGGUCCAGACUCCUACGGGAGGCAGCAGUGGGGAAUAUUGCACAAUGGGCGCAAGCCUGAUGCAGCCAUGCCGCGUGUAUGAAGAAGGCCUUCGGGUUGUAAAGUACUUUCAGCGGGGAGGAAGGGAGUAAAGUUAAUACCUUUGCUCAUUGACGUUACCCGCAGAAGAAGCACCGGCUAACUCCGUGCCAGCAGCCGCGGUAAUACGGAGGGUGCAAGCGUUAAUCGGAAUUACUGGGCGUAAAGCGCACGCAGGCGGUUUGUUAAGUCAGAUGUGAAAUCCCCGGGCUCAACCUGGGAACUGCAUCUGAUACUGGCAAGCUUGAGUCUCGUAGAGGGGGGUAGAAUUCCAGGUGUAGCGGUGAAAUGCGUAGAGAUCUGGAGGAAUACCGGUGGCGAAGGCGGCCCCCUGGACGAAGACUGACGCUCAGGUGCGAAAGCGUGGGGAGCAAACAGGAUUAGAUACCCUGGUAGUCCACGCCGUAAACGAUGUCGACUUGGAGGUUGUGCCCUUGAGGCGUGGCUUCCGGAGCUAACGCGUUAAGUCGACCGCCUGGGGAGUACGGCCGCAAGGUUAAAACUCAAAUGAAUUGACGGGGGCCCGCACAAGCGGUGGAGCAUGUGGUUUAAUUCGAUGCAACGCGAAGAACCUUACCUGGUCUUGACAUCCACGGAAGUUUUCAGAGAUGAGAAUGUGCCUUCGGGAACCGUGAGACAGGUGCUGCAUGGCUGUCGUCAGCUCGUGUUGUGAAAUGUUGGGUUAAGUCCCGCAACGAGCGCAACCCUUAUCCUUUGUUGCCAGCGGUCCGGCCGGGAACUCAAAGGAGACUGCCAGUGAUAAACUGGAGGAAGGUGGGGAUGACGUCAAGUCAUCAUGGCCCUUACGACCAGGGCUACACACGUGCUACAAUGGCGCAUACAAAGAGAAGCGAUCUCGCGAGAGCAAGCGGACCUCAUAAAGUGCGUCGUAGUCCGGAUUGGAGUCUGCAACUCGACUCCAUGAAGUCGGAAUCGCUAGUAAUCGUGGAUCAGAAUGCCACGGUGAAUACGUUCCCGGGCCUUGUACACACCGCCCGUCACACCAUGGGAGUGGGUUGCAAAAGAAGUAGGUAGCUUAACCUUCGGGAGGGCGCUUACCACUUUGUGAUUCAUGACUGGGGUGAAGUCGUAACAAGGUAACCGUAGGGGAACCUGCGGUUGGAUCACCU
rnacentral:rRNA from 37 species